AUUCCCUUAGUUUAAAAGGUAGAAUAGCAUUAUUACGAAAAUGUCUGAUUUGGUUCGAUUCCAAAAAGGAAUU
rnacentral:tRNA from 1 species